rnacentral:lncRNA from 1 species
ACUGCUGGAAUUCCCCACAGCCUGGAAAGUUCAUGCCAUGAUAUUAUUAACAAAAAGCAGUAGUCCUACAUCAAACGCCAUGAAAAUGAGCUUACAACUUCAGGAAAGAGCGAUUGGAGUAAACAAGGUAAAGUGAAGCCCAAACUUGAACUUCACGGAUUGCUAUUGAAAGUAAAUUCAUUAUGCAGCAGAGCUUAUGCGGAGGCGGUCUUCUGCUAGAAAACAACUGCAUAAACUGGGAUUGCGAUGCCAAUGCUAAGUGCUCCUAGCACGCAAAGAUACACCUUCGGUUUCUGAUGCUUUAUCCUGUGCAAGUUGUACAUGUGCUUGGCAUGGAGGUAGUAAGGCUCAUCAUGGCCAUG